rnacentral:rRNA from 1 species
CCUACGGAGGCAGCAGUGGGGAAUAUUGGGCCAUGGGGGGAACCCUGACCCAGCGACGCCGCGUGAGGGAAGAAGGUUUUCGGAUUGUAAACCUCUGUCCUUGGUGACGAUAAUGACGGUAGCCAAGGAGGAAGCCACGGCUAACUACGUGCCAGCAGCCGCGGUAAUACGUAGGUGGCAAGCGUUAUCCGGAUUUACUGGGUGUAAAGGGCGUGUAGGCGGGAAAGCAAGUCAGAUGUGAAAACCACGGGCUCGACCUGUGGCCUGCAUUUGAAACUGUUUUUCUUGAGUACUGGAGAGGCAGA